rnacentral:rRNA from 1 species
UCAAGACGAACGCUGGCGGCGUGCCUAACACAUGCAAGUCGAACGGAGAUAUUCGCUGAUGAAGUACUUCGGUAAUGAUUCUUGAAUAUCUUAGUGGCGGACGGGUGAGUAACGCGUGAGCAACCUGCCUUUCAGAGGGGGAUAACGUUCGGAAACGAACGCUAAUACCGCAUGAUAUUGUUGAGUCGCAUGACUUAAUAAUCAAAGGAGCAAUCCGCUGAAAGAUGGGCUCGCGUCCGAUUAGUAGUUGGUGGGGCAACGGCCCACCAAGCCGACGAUCGGUAGCCGGACUGAGAGGUUGAACGGCCACAUUGGGACUGAGACACGGCCCAGACUCCUACGGGAGGCAGCAGUGAGGGAUAUUGGUCAAUGGGGGAAACCCUGAACCAGCAACGCCGCGUGAGGGAAGACGGUUUUCGGAUUGUAAACCUCUGUCCUCUGUGAAGAUAAUGACGGUAGCAGAGGAGGAAGCUCCGGCUAACUACGUGCCAGCAGCCGCGGUAAUACGUAAGGAGCAAGCGUUGUCCGGAUUUACUGGGUGUAAAGGGUGCGUAAGCGGCUUUGCAAGUCAGAAGUGAAAUCCAUGGGCUUAACCCAUGAACUGCUUUUGAAACUGCAGAGCUUGAGUGGAGUANAGGUAGGCGGAAUUUCCCGGUGUANCGGUGAAAUGCGUANAGAUCG